rnacentral:misc_RNA from 1 species
ACACCUCAACUCUCACGGCUUGCCGUGAUGAGCUUGGACUUUGGGGGUCUUGCUGGCCUGUGGUCAGCUCCUCUCAAAUGAAUUAGCUUGCCGGUGUUUGGUGGGAUCACAGGUGUGAUAACUAUCUACGCUUGUGGUUUUCCACCAGGUAACCUUCAGCGAUGGAGGUUCACCGGAGCUUAUAAAUGUCUCUCCUCAGCAAAGACAGCUUUUGACC